AUUGAACGCUGGCGGCAUGCCUUACACAUGCAAGUCGAACGGUAACGCGGGGCAACCUGGCGACGAGUGGCGAACGGGUGAGUAACGCAUCGGAACGUGCCCAGUAGUGGGGGAUAGCCCGGCGAAAGCCGGAUUAAUACCGCAUACGACCUACGGGUGAAAGCGGGGGACCGUAAGGCCUCGCGCUAUUGGAGCGGCCGAUGUCAGAUUAGGUAGUUGGUGGGGUAAAAGCCUACCAAGCCGACGAUCUGUAGCUGGUCUGAGAGGACGACCAGCCACACUGGGACUGGGACACGGCCCAGACUCCCACGGGAGGCAGCAGUGGGGAAUUUUGGACAAUGGGCGCAAGCCUGAUCCAGCCAUGCCGCGUGCGGGAAGAAGGCCUUCGGGUUGUAAACCGCUUUUGUCAGGGAAGAAACGCUCCGAACUAAUACUUUGGGGUAAUGACGGUACCUGAAGAAUAAGCACCGGCUAACUACGUGCCAGCCGCCGCCGUAAGAC
rnacentral:rRNA from 1 species